rnacentral:rRNA from 1 species
UACGUAGGCAGCGAGCGUUGUUCGGAGUUACUGGGCGUAAAGGGUGUGUAGGCGGUUUUCUAAGUCUGGUGUGAAAUCUCCCGGCUCAACUGGGAGGGUGCACCGAAAACUGGAAGGCUAGAGUGCGGGAUGGGUAAGUGGAAUUCCUGGUGUAGCGGUGAAAUGCGUAGAUAUCAGGAAGAACACCCGUGGCGAAGGCGGCUCUCUGGGACGGUACUGACGCUGAGACGCGAAAAGCGUGGGGAGCGAACAGG